UACAGAGGUCUCAAGCGUUGUUCGGAUUCAUUGGGCGUAAAGGGUGCGUAGGCGGCGCGGUAAGUCGGGUGUGAAAUCUCGGAGCUUAACUCCGAAACUGCAUUCGAUACUGCUGUGCUUGAGGACUGGAGAGGAGACUGGAAUUUACGGUGUAGCGGUGAAAUGCGUAGAUAUCGUAAGGAAGACCAGUGGCGAAGGCGGGUCUCUGGACAGUUCCUGACGCUGAGGCACGAAGGUCAGGGGAGCAAACAGG
rnacentral:rRNA from 1 species